CGUCCUCCGUCUGGAAUGAACUCCGACUGAAGAGAAGAAGAAGAAGAAGAAGAAGAAGAAGAAGAAGAAGAAGAAGAAGAAGAAGAAGAAGAAGAAGAAGAAGAAGAAGAAGAAGAAGAAGAGCAGCAGCAUCAGAAGGUCAGAGGUCACCGACGUCCCACUGUGACUGACAGCUGUCAAUCAUCGGAUCUGAACCAACCAGGAGACAGGAAACUACCUUCAACAUGGAGAAGUGACGGACAGGAUCGGCGGACAUGAAGGCUCCAACCAGAGGGUGGACAGGAAAUCUGAAUGUGCUGCACUUCCUGUUAGCUGUGUUCCUGGUUCUUCAUGAAGGGGGGGUCUGUCUGGAGCUGCAGCCUUCAACCUCUGAAGUUCUGCUCAACUCAAACUCCAACUUCACUGUGGUCAGUAAAUACCUGUCUAUCUAUA